GGGGAUAACUACUGGAAACGGUAGCUAAUACCGCAUAACGUCGCAAGGCCAAAGAGGGGACCUUCGGGCCUCUUGCCAUCAGAUGUGCCCAGAUGGGAUUAGCUUGUUGGUGGGGUAACGGCUCACCAAGGCGACGAUCCCUAGCUGGUCUGAGAGGAUGACCAGCCACACUGGACUUAGACACGGUCCAG
rnacentral:rRNA from 1 species